AUAUCUGUAAACAUCAUAUAUCUGGUCCUUAAACCCCCUGCUCAGCAUCUCAUCAGAUUCAUCAAGAAUCAAAAGCUUAAUAGCUCUGGUACGCAGACUCCUCCUCUUAAUCAUAUCACAUACACGCCCAGGCGUCCCAGACACAACAUGGACACCAUUCUCCAGCUUCCUGAUAUCCUCUCCAACGCUCUUCAAACACGACCAGGUGUCCCAGACACAACAUGGACACCAGUCUCCAGCUUCCUGAUAUCCUCUCCAGCGCUCUUCCCACCAAUACACGCAUGCGCCUGAAUAUUAGCGUGCAACCCAAUAGCUUGAAUAGUCUUCUCCGUCUGCGAAGCCAGCUCUCUCGUCGGAGACAAUAUCAACG
rnacentral:lncRNA from 1 species